rnacentral:lncRNA from 1 species
GAAGAGAAAGUUAGAAGAGAUGAGGGAAUUUUGUGUUAGUGAAUGAAAAAUAGGGGAGGGAGUAUAUAUAGAAGAAAGAAGGAAAAAAAAACACAUGCAACGGUCGAAUGACCAAAGAAAAAAGAAAAACAAAUCCCCAAAAAUCGGAUAGAGCCGUUUGUUUUUUAAAAUUUGAUUUUUUUUAAUGAGAGCGUGAUUACACGCGCCUGAUAUUAAGAGGAUCGUGCCUUACUCGAAAAAUUGAGUAGCCCUCGAGUCAUGGAAGAGCUGCAGUGGGAUACUC